rnacentral:rRNA from 1 species
UACGGAGGUGGCAAGCGUUGUUCGGAAUCACUGGGCGUAAAGGGCGCGUAGGCGGGGUGACAAGUCGGGUGUGAAAUCCCUCGGCCCAACCGAGGAACUGCGCCCGAAACUGUCGCUCUUGAGUCCCGGAGAGGAAGAUGGAAUUCCCGGUGUAGCGGUGAAAUGUGUAGAGAUCGGGAGGAACACCGGUGGCGAAGGCGGUCUUCUGGACGGUGACUGACGCUGAGGCGCGAAAGCGUGGGGAGCAAACGGG